rnacentral:lncRNA from 1 species
UUUAGAAUUUAAUUUAUUUGUAUUAUUUUUGAUAUGGUGGUUGUAUCAAUCAGGGAUUUAAUUUAUAAGCAUUAUUUUGAUUAAUUUAGAGGUUAAUUUUAAUUUCAUAAUUGAUGUGGCAGUUCUGGUCUGCAACUUCUUACCACCGCAUGCCCAAAAUGUUAGUUUAUAAGCUUGUUUUAUUUGUUUAUUUUUAUUUGAAGAGUUGUAUUUCUUAUGAAAGGGUGUGUCCUUUUGUAAGGGAUGUCUCUUUCGGUUUAGGGUCAUGUCCUUUAGUGAAAGGUUGUAUUUUUUCGUGAAGAGUUGCGUCGUUUCAUACUCUAUAAGUAGAAAGCAUGUAAUUUGUUAUGUAGAGUUGUGAAGUGUGGAUCAAAUUGUAUUAUUCAGUUGUAGUGUACUGAAGUUUAUUUAUAUUAAUAAAGUUUGUUAUUUUAGUGAUAAAAACUUUUGUAAUUCAUUUAUAUAUUUGCCUGCCAACAUUUGGUAUAAGGGCCAAAACAAAACUCUAUUAAAAAAUGGCCACACAACUUGUCACGCCCCGGAGCCGCCAAUUUGGUCGGUUCGGGUACGUCAACAGACGCCGAACGGACAGCACCUCCCCUGUCCGCCUAAGGCUCCAACAACAAGUAUAAUACAAGCAAUUCAAUACAAGAUAAAUGCAAUUAUACAAGAUUUGCUCGAGGGCAAACAACAACCAUGAGUAGUG